AGAUUUAUAAGUUAUAUAAACUAUUAACCUUCAAAGUUGAAAAAGGAUGACCUAAAUCUG
rnacentral:tRNA from 1 species